UUGGCGAAAAUAGUCAUCCAAAGAAAGAGUGUAAGAAAUAAUAAUGAUUGCUUGAAAUCGAAUCUUCAAGCGCACAAAGUCGAAUUUGAAGAAAGAAAAUAAAGCAAAACCGAGAUUUUGGGGACCAGGCAGAUAAAAGGAAAACUUGAACUGUGUAAAAACCCAAAAUAAGCUAGAAAGGAGAGAUUGAAAAAAUGAGAGGGAAACUACUUAACCAAUCUCCUUAACGACGAUAAAAGAUGCAAUCUCUAGAAGAAUUUGUUGGCAGAAGAGAAAAACGAAUGAAGCAAGGGAUGGGAUUCAACGAUUGAAAUAUAAGCUAAGAUGAAUGCGGA